CCGCGAACCCAUUCCCAUUCCCAUUCCCACUCUCCCUCCCUCCGCCGCCAAAUUCGCCGGAGAAACAAAAAAAAAAUGGACCGCCCGCGGCAGCAGCACGAGCCGGAGCAUCUCGGCGGCGGCGGCAUCGACGUCGAGGUCGAGCUCGACCCGGAGGACCUCCAGCCGUCGGUGCCCCUCAAGAAGGUCCCCGCGGGGGACCUCUUCGAGGCGGCCCGCGCGGGGGACUGCGCCCGCCUCGCCCUCCUCCUCGGCGGCGGCGCCAACGUCAACGAGCGCGACCGCUGGGACUCCGUCGCGCUCUACUACGCCUGCCUCGCCGGCCACGCCGACGCCGCCCGGAUGCUGCUCGAGGCCGGGGCCGUCUGCGCCGAGCGCACCUUCGACGGCGACCGCUGCCACUACGCCGCGCUCAACCUCCGCCUCCGGAGGCUGCUCAAGGCGUUCGAGGCCAGGCCCCCGCCGCUGCCGCCGCUCCCCGCCGCGCUCAGGGCCACGUUCCUCGCCUGCCCCGCCAACCGCGCCGCCUUCCUCGAGAUGCUCCAGUGGACCGCCGGCUCCGAAGCCGCCGCCCUCGCCGCUGCUGCUGGAUUUGGGCCAACGGACAAUCCAUCAAGUACUAGCCUAUUCCCUCCGGACAUUACAUUCUACGUGGAUGGAAAACCAAUUGAAGCUCAUCGGGUCAUUCUUUGUGCCCGGUCAUCCUUCUUUCGGAGGAAAUUCAAUACAGACUGGAAAGACAGGAAGGAAGUGAGAUUUUCUAGCCAGAAGUUAUCUUUUGGUGCCUUGUACAGCCUUGUCCAUUUCUUCUAUUCUGAUAGACUCGAAGUGGAUGUGGAUGAUAUGGAAAAUUUGGCGCGGGCGUGCAAAGUUUGUAAGUGUGAGGGUUUGCAAAAGAUAUUGAUUAAAGAAGCUACUCUCCAGAGAUAUGCAGAACACAAGUCACCGAGAGAUUUGGACAGUUCACAGAAGAGGUUCAUUUUACAUGGGCAAUCCUUGCCAGAGGAGGAUCGCCUUCCAUCAGCCCUGCGGCAUAUUUUUGAGGAAUGUCUAGCUAACUCAAGAGAACAAGAAUGUUAUAACGAUGAAUCAAAUGAAAUGAGCAGAGACUCUGGUGUAGAUGCUGCUGCUGAUCUUUAUAUAAAAGUAUGUGAUAAGGUUUUCCAUUGCCAUCAGGUGAUUUUAGCCUCAAGAUCAGAGUACUUUAAAGCUAGGCUAUCUAGAAACAUGGAUUUUCUUGAAGUCAAGAGUGGGCUUCAAUCAACUCAGAGCCUUCCUUUUCUUGAAGAGCAUGACAUGAGUACAGAAGCAUUUGAAAAGGUGCUUGAAUACAUGUAUACUGAUAACCUAGAGCAUAUGGAUCCUAAUCAGGCUGAAGAACUAUUUGAUAUUGCUUCGAGAUACCUGCUAUUCCCCCUUAAACGAGUUGUGGCAGAUAUACUUUUGCCUUAUCUGGAGCAUGUUUCACCUGCAGAACUAUGCCACUGGCUAAUGUUAUCAGACAUUUAUGAUGUUGUGAAAAUAAGGGAGUAUUGCUUGGAUAUCAUCGCUUGCAAUUUUGAGAUGUUUGCGGACACAAGAGAGUUCAGGGCAUUGCUUUUGACACUUCCACCACCAUCUGGAGAUGACUCACUGCGAACAACUCGUCCCAGUGAACCUGGUACUGCAGGCAACACUGACCAAGGCAACCUUCUUGAUGAUUUGCGUGAGAAAUGGUUAGAAGCAGAGGCUGCUGAGCUAGACGAGAGAGAUGAGAGUGCAAAGCUGUUUGACAACCGAUUGGAAAUGCUUAUGCUUGUAGCAGAACAAGAAGCCAAUGAUGGCAAUGUUUGACUCCACUGAGAAUUUGCACUGUACCUUCUCGUGUAGCUCUGUUUUUGAAGUCUUCACUGAAGCCAUAAUAUCACCACUGUGUGCCUGAUGUAGCAUCAUUUGUGUUUAAGUUGGACAUACUGUCAGCCAAAGAAUUCACAAAUGAAGAAUCCUAAGUAAAUCAUCUGUGGUCAUCGGGAGGACACGCCAUCAGGCAGCCUUGUUCCCCCUCUGAAUUUUCUGCUGUUGAACCAUGAUCCUCUGAAGCGAUUUCAGAGGCAACAUGUGAAGCCAUAGUUGAUGAUUCUGAUGAUUCAGAGGCUGUGGCUGUUUCUGCAUACUCCAAUACAUGAUGAUGACUCUGGCUGUUUCUGCUGAAUCCAAUCCAUGAUGCCAGUCAGCGUUAGGAUCGGACCUUUGGGCUAAGAUAUGAUGGGGCCGAUGAGGAUGUGGUGGCAACGGAAAUCAUGCCCAUCUGAAACUCUUGAAUUGGAAACUUGGGGACUGUUUAACCACGCUACUUACAUGUGGUCACUGAAUUUCAGAGGUAUCCUUUGGAUUGGCACAGGAUGAAAUGAGCGAUUUCGUAUGAACUUUGUGGAUUCCAAUUGCUAAUUUCUGUUCUUUUCUUAGAAAUUUCAACACUUUUUUAAUGUUAAAAGUGUGCUCUUGUACAGAUCCAA